rnacentral:tRNA from 1 species
GCCCUCGUAGCUCAAUGGUAGAGCGUCUGCCCCGUAAGCAGGUGAUCCCGGUUCGAUUCCGAGAGAGGGCU